UUGUUGGUCACUUCAAUCUUGUGAUUGUGUGCACCUGACCUCAUGUGUUUCACCUGGGUUCAGUUAUUCUGUCUGUGUCAGGUCGUCUCUUCACUUUGGUUCUGUUCAGUCCAGCUCCUGUGUCUCUGUUUUGAGUUUCAGCUCUUGGAUCACCUGAGUUCUCUUACCAGCCUUCUGAGUACCUUCUCUUGUCUCAAACUCUGAGGCUGUGUUAGAGCUGUGCUGAACCGGGAUGGAGGAGAACAACAUGUUCCUCUGAACUACCCCCUGACCCCAACCAUCCUGAGACUGAGACAGACUCCUGCAGUACACCAGCCAAUCCACUGUUCAUACUCAAACACGCAAACAAAAGCUUGUGUGUAAAAACCCUGGUCAUCAGGGCAUGGCAGCUCUCGGAUGGAGAAAGGGCUCGAGCCUGCAGCCUGCUGGGCCUCCAACGUGCUACUGUAACAUCUG